ACUGUAGAUAUGGUCGCUGUAGCUUAUUACAACAUCUAAAUUAUAAUUCAGCACGCUAGUUAUUCACACGUAUGUAAUUACCACAGAGCGUAGAAACACAACAACACUGUGUUUCUGUGAUCUGUGGAUUACCUAUUAUGAUCACCCCAGAAACCGUAUUUUAAAUAUUUGCCUGUAUAUUAAGAUGCCCAUCGCAAACUUUUGAUUGACAUCCUUUGAUUGUCAACAUGCUUUUAUUGCUAUUGGAACCGGUCACGUUUUGCUGUGUCAGGAACGUUCACUCCGGUGAACAUAGUUACUUUAAGUGCCGUGUAGGUGGCGCUGGUGGCAAGGAUUAGUUACCUUUUAACCCAUAGGUCUUUUUUUUAUUGCUUUUGUAGGCAGACGAGCAUACGGCCCACCUGAUGGUGAGUGGUUACCGUCGCCCAUGGACUUCAGCAAUGCCAGGGGCAGAGCCAAGCCGCUGCCUACCGCUAUUCGGAUUGAUAUGAAAUCUAUAUAAAGAAAAUGUAUGCGUAUACAUAUGUAUAUUCAUCUAAACUUUUUUUUAUCUAGCUAGCUUUCCGAAUCGUCUUAUGGCUUUUAUGUUUUGAUAUAAAAUUGCAGUUUGUUGCAGGCGAAGCCGCGGGCGCAGACAGUCAUUUACAUAAAUAAAUUAGCAGGCUGUACGUCAGAAGAAAGCUGGACGCCAGGACGAAGGUGUGGACUGCGCACGUUCCGUUCUGCAGGUACGCUGACGCCGGGUGGUGGCUGUUCUGCGGACAGAAAUAUUCAAGAUCUGUAGCUUCACAUUUACUUCUCUUGGGAGCUAAUCUCUAUCCCGAACAUAACGUACGUCGUGCUCACGAGAGAUUCACAGGACGAAGUGUGACUGCUCGUAGCUGGGCCUCACUACUGCACCGGUGGAUGCUCUCUCUCUAGUCUGCCUAAACCAUUGAAACCGGAAAAUCGUUCUAGCCUACCUUUUCUAAGAAGUGUGGGUUGAGAAGGUAGAUCAUGUGGAAGGCCAUCACGGUGUGCGCCAGCAUGAUGCACACCAGUGUCAAGGUUCUGGAACACACAGACGCCGAUAUCACUUACCGCCCCGUAUCGCAUGCGCAGUUUCUGUCUUAUUUUAAAUUAAAACCUUUAAAUUCACACGGUAAUUAAUUGCAUUAAACUCAUUUAUUGCAUUUUUAUUACUCGAGAUACCGGUCGAGAAAUUUUCAGGUAACAAUACAGUCAGGUUUUCAGUCUUGGAAAUUUUUAAAUUAAUGUCAAAUCAAUUAGAGCGUGCUUACUUUACACCAUGAAGUGGCUUCAGCGCUGCAAGUUUCUGGUCUCCGUCAGCGUAGUCGGCGGUCAGGCGGUUCCAAUUAGAGAUCAGAGACCAAGUGAUGAGAUACCGAUUUGCUGUGAAUUAUGAAAAAUUAGUGCACUGACUAAUUUAGCGUCAAAACAUUUGGUUAAGUAUGUGCUUACAUAUGAGUCGUCUAUUAUCAAAGGUGGCAAUCUGUGCAUUUGGACAAAAAAAAUGUAUUGAUAUGACAAUACAGAUUGAUUUGAAUAUAAACGUCUCCUUCAAAGAAUACGGUUCAAAACCUGCACUAAAUAAAGGUUAAUAGUUAACCUGUUAUUUAUCUAAGAUGUCGUUCCGAAGAGUUUUGUGACUGCCAAUGGAAUACAAAGUCAAAAAUUCGUUUUUCUGAUUUACCAAUCACUGUCCAAAAGUCAGAUUGCCGGCUUUGAUAAUAGUCGACUCAUAUGUACGUUAUUUCAAAUCAUUUUCCCUGUCGGGUCACCGAAGUACUUAAGUUACUUAUUUUUAUACAAAAGUCUUUAAAAAUGUAUCAAGAGAUGUACGUUUUUACCAAUGGCGUUAAAAUGAAUAUACGACGUUUGUUGUCGUAGUCUAUCUACACCGAAUUAAUUAUUUUAAUAUUAAAAACGAUUGAAAAAUUACCGUACAGAUUUAACCUUGUACGUAUUAGAAGUAAUCUGAUGGAUAGUUUUGCUUGUGUUUAUUCACUGCCUUCGCACAGGGUCGCGCGACUCUAAUCUCUAAUUCAAACGUCGACCGGGCGGUCAGUGAUGGGCGAUUGUCAGAUUCAAUAACUAAUUGUUCUGUUCGUAAAUUGAUAGCACGAUCGAUUGUUAGACCAAAACAGUAAUGUAAUGCUUCAUUUAAACCAGACGCGCCUUUGUCAGCUCGCAGCCUGUUCGAGUCCGUGGAGUAAAAUCUAUUUGUGCAUUUUGGUUGACUUACGUUUGUCAUUUUGAUUUCUGAAGUAGUCAUAAGCUGUGGCGAUCAAAUUCAACAAGACUAGGGCGGCGGCUGCGGUAGCCACGGUGAGGUCGACGGAGUCCGGCGCCGUCUGCGAGCUUCUGGACUUACAGUACACCAACUUUCUCAGCUUCGAAUCUAGGCCGUACCGUUCCCUGAAAUUUAACACGAUCGUCACAGUAGGCGGCAGCUUUCACAGCCUGAAUAAUACUAGGGUUUUUUUAAGAGUCUUUUUGUAGUAUUCAACUGUACUUCAAGAUACUUUAGUGCUACCCGUGUCGUACUUUUUUUUUCCUACCUAGCCUAAGAGGCUAUCACAGCUACGCCCAGACGGGUAGGUGAGCUCACGGGCUCAACCUGAGUGAACUACCACCGGAUCGGAAUCGCGACCCACUAAGAAGAUCCGGCGAGAAACUCAGUGGGCUGUGUCUGUCGGCGUGUUGACCGUGCGGCAACCCUCAUUCAACAGCUACGUCUAAUUUAUAUGAGCGGGAGUCAGAGCCGCAUGUUCCAUUCCGACCUUAGAGAAAACUAACACAAGAUAUCGGCUGCAUAAAGCGAGUUAAAGUUUUUAUUGAGUAGAAUUUAGCAUAGUCCUAUAGACGUGAUUAACCUAUUAUACACAAACACUGAUGAGGCCAGUAGGAAUAUCAAAAGCUAGACUAGACUAGACUAGACUAGACCUCUGGCGAGUGUGCCAUAUUGCGUGAAUACUGAUGAAUGUGACUCCGAUGCAAGUAAGCGUUUUAGUAUAUAAAGUGAUUGAUGGAUUUCUGGUGGGCCGGAGGCCUUUCCAGUUCCACCAGGACAGGUGGACGAGCAACGGCUCAGCCAGGAGGAGUGGGAUUUGCUAACAGCUGCCCAAGCGCCUCCGAAGAAGACCUAACAACUGGUAGUACAACAGCGAGUAGCUGCUUUGCGAAUGAAUCUACUAUCGAAUCGGAACGGACUUACUGUUAGGCACAGCGGGUAUACUUACGGCGCUGUGAGACUCAGAGGAGUCCCGAGUCCCAUAUGUGUCAAUUUAAAAUGCUCACCUUGUGUGGUUCUGGACGCAUUGCUCGAAGCUUGCCUCUUCUGUGGCGGGUCCGCGCGCGCACCGCGUCGUCACGCAGUACGCGCGGUGUAUGUGGGAACGAUUGAAGUGAUAUUUAUCCGCCGAGUAUUUCUAACAAACAAUAAAACUAAUUAAAACUGCUUUUAUUAGUUAUAUGGUAGUUUUAUUAGUACUGAGAAACGAUCUAUGUAAGCACUCCCACGCUCUGAACUCUCUUUUUUUUUUCUGUUUAUUAAACGAUUCAAAUUGAAAAUUGAUUAUAUUUGUCGCUUGUUGAUUCAUUAAAAAUGGACGGCCACAACUACUUGUUACAUCUUCAUCUUCUUUGAUGUAGUUUUACGAGUACCUAGGUAACUAGUAGGUAGUAUCCACAUAGUAGUGGUAGUUAAAAAUAUGUAAUUUGAUGAGAAUAUUAGAAGGUUUUCGGGGGAGCCAGAAUUAUGUAGUCGGAUUCCCCGUGGACAUUGGCAUGCGGCAAUGCAAGCCGCUACCUACCGGGAAGAGAUAUAAAGACUAAUUUUAAAGCUCACUUGAAGGGGAAGGACAUGAUUGUUAGGAGGAAAAUUAUAUUCGGAUGGGAGAUACAUUGUGUUAGCUACGGAGUCAAAUAUAAAUAGCUGGUUUAUUGAAGUAAAUAGCCACCAUAUUAUUAUAGUCCUUUCAAAAAUGUUCACCUCGAUAUAUUCUAGCAAUGGCUCGUUCUUGUGUGGUAAGAGAUCAAAUUCUCCCAUGCAGUAGACUCCGGAGUUAGACAGACACCUCUCAUAGUCAUCCAGGUGGAACAGCUGCGGUAAAUCAUAGAACAGCUCAUCUGGGAAGUUAUAGGCUCGUUUACUAUGUGAAAGCAGAAACAGAAAAACUUAUAGGUUACAUACAAUUUAUAGGGGUUUACUGGUGGUAGGACCUCUUGUGAGUCCGCACGGAUAGGUACCACCACCGCGCCUAUUUCUGCCGUGAAGCAGUAAUGCGUUUCGGUAUGAAGGGUGGGGCAGCCGUUGUAACUGUACUUGAGACCUUAGAGCUUAUAUCUUAAGGUAGGUGGCGCAUUUACGUUGUAGAUGUCUAUGGGCUCCAGUAACCACUUAACACCAGGUGGGCUGUGAAAUCGUCCACCUAUCUAAGCAAUGAAAAAUAAAAAAGGGGUACAGGUUCGAGACUUAACAGGCAGAAUUAUGUUUUCAGUGUUUAUGGUAUGUAAGAUAUAUACAUGUAAAUAAUGUAUUGUUUUCACGAGCUUGCUGCUAGGGCUAGCAGCCCGUUAAGUUUGAGUUGUUAAAUCAUAGGACACGAACCCUUUAUCCAUCACUCAGAUUCAUCGAUGGUACGCUAAUACUGUGUUGCAAUAGCUCAGGAACAGCUGGGUAGCCAGGUUGCGAGGUUUUUCGCCUAUGAGCUUUGUUAACGACCCAAUACUAGGAGCUGUGAGCUCGUCCACUCAUCCUAUGCAAUUAAUUAAUAAAAAUGUGAGUCUUGCAGGAGUCUUUAGGGGUUAAAGUAUGAAAUUGCCGAUUUGUACUGAAAAAUUUAAAUUGUUUUUUUUUUCAUUUAACAUUAUUUACGUAAUCAAAAUAUCUACCAUUAUUUGCUACCAUAUAAUAGGAAGGUCAUUUAUGCCUCUAGAUUCUACAAACUGUGUGAAAGCAUAUUGUACUGCCUCCUGGGAAGAAACAUUUUUAUCACGUAGAAAAAUGUCCAAAUCACGAAAAAAAUGGUAGUCCGUUGGAGCAAGGUCUGGCGAAUACGGAGGAUGACGAAUGGUAUCUAAUUUUUUUUUUUUUUUUUUAUUGCUUAGAUGUGUGGACGAGCUCACAGCUUACCUGGUGUUAAGUGGUUACUGGAGCCCAUAGACAUCUACAACGUAAAUGCGCCACCCACCUUGAAAUAUAAGUUGUAAGGUCUCAGUAUAGUUACAACGGCUGCCCCACACUUCGAACCGAAACGCAUUACUGCUUCACGGCAGAAAUAGGCAGGGCGGUGGUACCUACCCGCGCGGACUCACAACAGGUCCUACCACCAGUAAUUACGCAAAUUAUAAUUUUGCGGGUUUCAUUUUUAUUACACGAUGUUAUUCCUUCACCGUGGAAGUCAAUCGUGAACAUUUAUUGAGUACGUAUUUCCUUAGAAAAAUUGGUACCCGCCUGCGGGAUUCGAACACCGGUGCAUCGCUUCAACACGAAUGCACCGGACGUCUUAUCUUUUAGGCCACGACGACUUCGACGUGGCCUAAAAGAUAAGAUAUAUAAGAAAAGAUAAGAUAUAAGAUAAUAAGAUUCGACGACGACGACACGAAAUUGCAGUUUCUGUAGAGUUAAAACGGUUUCUCGUGCAUAUUCAUGAGUCGGGGCUGUUUCACUGCAAGUUUUGCUAUCAUUGUUCGGAGUUAGGCAUGGUAGACAUCUACUUUUAUUGCUUGACCAGAUCGGAGAAAGCUAUAGUGAAUAACACCACGCUGAGACCACCAAACAGUUACCAUUACCUUUUUAUUAGUAAGCUUUGCUUUAGGACACUAUUGCGGCGUUUGACCUAGGGUCAGCCAUUGCAUUUUUCGCUUACAGUUAUCGUAAAGAAUCCACUUUUUAUAACAUGUCACAAUUCGAUCCAAUAUUCCUUCAUUUCUGUAUCGAUUCAACAGGACAACACAAGUUUCAACACGCGUUUCUUUCUGCAGAUCAGUCAAAUCAUGAGGCACCCAUUUUUAAUAUUUUUUAUUUUAUUGAUUUGACGCAAAUGAGUCAAUAUUGUUGGUAAGGUAACGUUAAACCAUGCCGCUAAUUCCUGGGUAGUUUGGCUCGAAUCUGCUUCCACCAUCUCUUUCAAUUCAUUGUUAUUCACAUAUGUGGGCGGUCUUCCACGUAGUUCGUUCUUCAAAUAAAAAUUUCCAUCACGAAAGCGUUAAAACCAAAAUCGUACGAUGCGUUCAUUAGCAGUCUUCUCUCCGAACGCAACAUUGAUAUUGUGAGCUGUUUCUGCAGCGUUAGUUCCGCGUCGGAACUCGUAUUCAAAAAUCACUCGAUUUUUUUAAGUAUCAAUCUUUCUUGUCUAAGCCGAAUAAAAAAAACAUCUGAAAGUCGAUAGUCGAAUUUUGCACAUUUUUUAAAAGAAGAACCUUAUAGGUACCAUUUGAAAAAGUUUUACUCUAAAAUCUCAAACCAUGAAGGUUCUAUUUCAAUUCGAAGUACCUAUUACAAUAGAACGGCAAUUUCAUACUUAUUUAACAAAUACCUAGACGCAGUAUAAAAUAAACAUUAGACAUUCGUUCAUUUAGUACAAAAGUACAUGAUAAAUACAAUAAAAAAUUUUCGGCAUAAUUUUUUUCUAAGACAAAAACGAAAUCACUAAAUUUAGAAUACAAUGAGUUCCUCCUUGAAGUGGAUGUAACGUCAUUAUAAUAAGAAACUGAAACAUAAAUAUACAUUAAGAGUUUUUUUUGUCGCGACCGUGUGAAGUUUUUAGUAAUUAAUUAUUAAUUAGGUUUUAGGUGAUGUUUGCCUCUUUAUAUCCGUUUGGUGCAUUUUGUACUGUAAUGAGUACUAGGCUGCACUAAAAGUAUCGGGAAUUGAAUAUUUCCACUGUUCCUGUCAUAUUAAAAUCUUUUUAAUUUAAAACUCCUUGGUUUUAAAAAUCGAAUACCAUUUAUUUAUUUAAAAAAAGAUUCUCGGUCUUGUCGCGAGGUUUUGUCAAACUUGUUUAGUCGUUGAGAAAAUGGAAUUGACUCGAGAAAAUUCAAGAGCGAUGAUUUAUUAUGACUUUCGAAGUGGUUUAACACAAAAACAGUGUGUUGACCGGAUGAUUUCUGCAUUUGGUGAUGAAGCCCCAUCCAAAACCACAAUUUAUCGCUGGUUUGCUGAGUUUCAACGUGGACGUGUCAAGCUCAGUGAUGAUCCCCGUUAAGGUCGUCCAAAAACUGCAGUCACCCAAGAAAACGUUGAUGCUGUGCGUAAGCUGAUUGAGGAAGAUCGACAUGUGACAUACUGCGAAAUUCAGGCAACUUUAGAUAUUGGCAUGAGUCAAAUACAAAUAAUCUUGCAUGAACAAUUAGGUGUAAAAAGUUGUUUUCCCGAUGGAUACCGCAUUCGCUCUGUGAAGAGCAAAAAGCGGCUCGCGUUACUUGGUGCGUCAGAACUCUCGAAAGAUUCCACGCAGGAUCCUCAAAUGCUGCAUACAACAUUGUAUCAGGUGACGAAUCCUGGAUAUACACGUACGAACCCGAAACAAAAAACCAGUAACGAGUUUGGGUGUUCGAAAAUGAGUUAAAGCCAACAAAAAUUGUUCGUUCACGGAGUGUUGCAAAAGAAAUGGUGGCCACGUUUGUCUCCAAAACCGGCCACGUUACGACUAUUCCUCUUGAGGGACAAAGAACGGUUAAUGCAGAAUGGUAUGCUAGCAUUUGUUUGCCACGGGUCGUUUCUGAACUCCGUAAAGAGAACUGCAACCGCCGCAUCAUCCUCCAUCACGACAAUGCGAGUUCUCACACCGCGUACAGAACAAAAGCUGUGGACGCCUACAAAACGGCAAUUUUGGAGACCCCAACUUCCGAAUGGAAUGGUUGCUUCAAUGAUUAGUUCCAUCGUAUGGAAAAAUGUGUCAAAUUUCGCGGAGAAUACUUCGAAAAGCAAUAAAUACAUUUUCAAAUAGUAA